GCUUACGACCACACCGGCCUGAGUACGCCUGAUCUCGUCUGAUCUCGGAAGCUAAGCAGGUUUGGGCCUGGUUAGUACUUGGAUGGGAGACCGCCUGGGAAUACCAGGUGCUGUAAGCU
rnacentral:rRNA from 1 species